UGGGGAAUAUUGCACAAUGGAGGGAACUCUGAUGCAGCGACGCCGCGUGAACGAAGAAGGCUUUCGAGUCGUAAAGUUCUUUUAUAUGGGAAGAUAAUGACGGUACCAUAAGAAAAAGCCCCGGCUAACUACGUGCCAGCAGCCGCGGUAAUACGUAUGGGGCGAGCGUUGUCCGGAAUUAUUGGGCGUAAAGGGUACGUAGGCGGUCUAUUAAGUCAGGUGUGAAAGCGUGAGGCUUAACCUCAUUAAGCACUUGAAACUGAUAGACUUGAGUGAAGGAGAGGAAAGUGGAAUUCCUAGUGUAGCGGUGAAAUGCGUAGAUAUUAGGAGGAAUACCGGUGGCGAAGGCGACUUUCUGGACUUUUACUGACGCUCAGGUACGAAAGCGUGGGGAGCAAACAGG
rnacentral:rRNA from 1 species